rnacentral:rRNA from 1 species
GUCCACGCCCUAAACGAUGCAUAUUUGGUGUGGGUCAUUCAGUUGAUCCGUGCCGGAGCUAACGCGUUAAAUAUGCCGCCUGGGGAGUACAGUCGCAAGGCUGAAACUCAAAGGAAUUGACGGGGCCCGCACAAGCGGUGGAGCAUGUGGUUCAAUUCGACGCAACGCGAAGAACCUUACCUGGGCUCGAAAUGCUAUGGACAGUCUGUGAAAGCAGAUCUUCCCCUUAAAAGGACCGUAGUAUAGGUGCUGCAUGGCUGUCGU